rnacentral:rRNA from 1 species
ACGAACAAACGCUGGCGGCGUGUACUAAGCAUGCAAGUUGAGCGGCAAGGAGGAGAGAUCCCUCCCGUAGAGGCGGCGGACGUGGUGAGGUAACGCGGUGGGUAAUCUAUCGUAGGCAUGGGGAUAGUCACUAAGAAAUAGUGGGUAAUACCGAAUACGUUCCAUGGAGGGGAGUAUUCAUGGAAGAAAGGGUGCUACGGCACUGGCCUUAGGUGAGCUCGCGUCCCAUUAGCUAGUUGGUGAGGUAAAGGCCCACCAAGGCGAUGAUGGGUAGCCGGCCUGAGAGGGUGUACGGCCACACUGGGAUUGAGAUACGGCCCAGACUCCUACGGGAGGCAGCAGCUAAGAAUAUUCCGCAAUGGACGAAAGUCUGACGGAGCGACGCCGCGUGGAUGAAGAAGGCCGAAAGGUUGUAAAGUUCUUUUGCUAGGGGAGAAUAAGUGAGGGAGGGAAUGCCCUCAUGAUGACAAGGACUAGCGAAUAAGCCCCGGCCAACUACGUG